rnacentral:rRNA from 1 species
CAGUAGCCGCGGUAAUACGAAGGGUGCAAGCGUUAAUCGGAAUUACUGGGCGUAAAGCGCGCGUAGGUGGUUCAUUAAGUUGGAUGUGAAAUCCCUGAGCUUAACUUAGGAAUUGCAUUCGAUACUGGGAAGCUAGAGUAUGGGAGAGGAUGGUAGAAUUCCAGGUGUAGCGGUGAAAUGCGUAGAGAUCUGGAGGAAUACCGAUGGCGAAGGCAGCCAUCUGGCCUAAUACUGACGCUGAGGUACGAAAGCAUGGGGAGCAAACAGGAUUAGAUACCCCCGUAGUCCCUGUCCUUAUACA